rnacentral:lncRNA from 1 species
UUGAGUUUGAGUGCGUAUUUCCUCAAUGAAGUCACCACUUUUUGUUUGGUUUGAGUAUUUCAGUUUUGUUCUGAUUUACCCGUUUCCCCUGUAGAUUUUCCUUAUCCACAACCGAUUCCUUGCAUUGAUUUAUUUUCGUGGAAUUCUUCUCGUGUCUCCAGCAGUUUUUAAGUCGUAGCCUAGCCUACACACAAAUGUUUAUCCCCUA